ACUCCAUGAUGAACACAAAAUGACAAGCAUAUGGCUGAACUUUCAAGUGAUGUCAUCUUACUACUGAGAAGUGAGAGAGAGGUCUUAAGGGGUCUUUGAAUGACUAUUUUUAGGUACAUAAAAUGCUUUCCUCUGUUGUCUACAGCAUCUCAUAAUCUAUCCUGGGGAAUUCAGCUGCCUCCCAGGGUGAAUACAGGUAUUCCUGAUGACAGUCUGCCUCUAUCUUACAGAGCAGCUUGUUGCUAUAUACCAUUGAAAAGCCUUCAGAGCUGAGAGGUACUACUAACCAAUAACCUGCUUGGCUCAAAGGGCCAGCACCUUCUCUCUAAAGCCCAAGAGGAGUUUGAGGAAAACUAGGUGUCUGUGUUCACUCCAGGCUGAAGUUACAGGUCUGAGCAAAUAAGGUGUAUAAAAAAUGGAAUCUGUCUUGGAGGACAUCAGAAGGUGAAUUUUCCAAGUUCUUGGACAACCUAGCUGUUGAAAAGCUUUCUGGGUUUGGGGGGUAUUUCAGAUGUACCUUAAAGUGUUAGCAGACACAGAUUAAGACACUGGGAGCCAAUGAAACAGCAGUUGAGGGUUUGCUGUGUAUCACAUUUCUGUAUUUUAUCACCCCCUUCCUGCAACAUUAUUUAUCUGGAAUCUACCUGCCCUUUUGUUUUUUAGAUACAAGGGCUUGGUUUUGUUACCCAGGCUGGUUUCAAGGCCAUAGCUUUAAGAGAUCCUCUCACCACAGAUUUCCAAAGUGCUGGGAUUGCAGGUGUGAUUCAUGGCACCCAGACUUUGCUGCCUUUCUUACAUGAUCCAGGCCCAGAACCCAAACUCAGGCACUGUAUAGAUGACCACUUUCGUAAACUACUGACCUAGCUUGUUGCCAAUUGUUGAUUGAACUUCCCAUAACUCCACUUCGUGUCUGUUCCUCUGUAUACAGCCACCUUCUGUUCCCGUCAUGAGCCUUUAGGUCUCCAUUUGCAUAUUGCAAAUACUAUGUUCCAUGUAGGUAGCUCAUUCAGGGCCUUGCUCUUCACUUCAAAAAAGGUUCCCUUGAGGACUGGCUGUCAAUUUGUGUUGCUGUGUUGGUUGUUGAUGAAAAUAAUAAAAUGAUUGAUUACAUA
rnacentral:lncRNA from 1 species